GUUGUAUGGUUAAGUGACUAAGCGUACACGGUGGAUGCCUUGGCAGUCAGAGGCGACGAAGGACGUAUUAACUUGCGAUAAGCGUAGAUUAGGCAGUAAAAGCCACUUGAGUCUACGAUUUCCGAAUGGGGAAACCCACUUACAUAAGUAAGUAUCCUGUUGUGAAUACAUAGCAGCAGGAGGCAAACCGGGGGAACUGAAACAUCUAAGUACCCCGAGGAAGAGAAAUCAACCGAGAUCCCGAAAGUAGCGGCGAGCGAAAUUGG
rnacentral:rRNA from 1 species